ensembl:snRNA U6 U6 spliceosomal RNA
GUGCUUCCUACAGCAGCACAUACACUAGACUUGAUACGAUACAGAGAAGAUUCACACGGCCCCUGCAUGAGGAUGACACACAAAUUCAUGCAGUGUUCCAUAUUUUU